UACAGAGGGGGCAAGCGUUGUUCGGAAUUACUGGGCGUAAAGGGCGCGUAGGCGGCCUGCUAAGUCGAACGUGAAAUCCCCGGGCUCAACCCGGGAACUGCGUCCGAUACUGGCAGGCUUGAAUUCGGGAGAGGGAUGCGGAAUUCCAGGUGUAGCGGUGAAAUGCGUAGAUAUCUGGAGGAACACCGGGGGCGAAGGCGGCAUCCUGGACCGAAAUUGACGCUGAGGCGCGAAAGCCAGGGGAGCAAACGGG
rnacentral:rRNA from 1 species